AUGAACGCUAGCGAUAGGCUUAACACAUGCAAGUCGCGGGGCAGCAUGGUCUUAGCUUGCUAAGACUGAUGGCGACCGGCGCACGGGUGCGUAACGCGUAUGCAACUUGCCUCACAGAGGGGGAUAACCCGUCGAAAGACGGACUAAUACCGCGUACACUCCAUCUUGGGCAUCCAAGGUAGAGGAAAUGAAAUUCGCUGUGAGAUAGGCAUGCGUCCCAUUAGCUAGUUGGUGAGGUAACGGCUCACCAAGGCGACGAUGGGUAGGGGAACUGAGAGGUUGAACCCCCACACUGGUACUGAGACACGGACCAGACUCCUACGGGAGGCAGCAGUGAGGAAUAUGGGGCAAUGGGCGAGAGCCUGAACCAGCCAAGUCGCGUGAAGGAUGACUGUCUUAUGGAUUGUAAACUUCUUUUAUACGGGAAUAACAAGAGUCACGUGUGACUCCCUGCAUGUACCGUAUGAAUAAGCAGCGGCUAACUCCGUG
rnacentral:rRNA from 1 species